rnacentral:lncRNA from 1 species
CUUUAAAGUUUGAUUCUUUCCCAGGCUAGAGAUAUGUGGUACAACAUUCUCACGAUGCUGGGCAUCAGCUCAACUGAUACUCUACAGUGUGCCGUAUUGCCAGAUGAUGUGCCCAACUCUAGGCUAAUAUAAGUGAUUUGAGCAUGUUUAAGGUAGGCUAAGCUAAGCUAUGUUGUCUGGUAGAUUAAGUGUAGUAAAUGCAUUUUUAACUUAAGGUAUUUUCAACUCAUGAUGGGUUUAUUGGGAUGUAACUACACGGUAAGUUGAGGAGUAUCUGUAUAGCUAUAGGGCAGUAACUACCAUAUUAUCACAGCUUUGAGACACUUGAUAGUGAUAAAUGCCACACCAUGACAGGUGUUUCAUAUCUCUAACUUUCUCUAGAUCUCCUAAAACCAUUUAAGAGGAAUAAAGCAUCCUCCCUGCCUUACGCCCUCUAGUUGGACUUCUAUUACUGGUUUAGCAAAUUCCAAAUAGGCAAAAUGGCAAAAAAAGAAAAAAACAAAACAGUAAUAGAGAAGAAAAGAUGAGUCAACU